AUCAUCAUCAUUGUGUGCGGUGUGGCAGCGUUGGUCUUCAUCCUGCUCUUGGCCCUGGGGAUGAAGCUGCUUCUGAGGAAGGAGAUCUUGCACAACAAAACCCGGAGGGAACAGAUCAGCAACGCCACAGUCGCCGACGUGUCCUGAUUUUGGAAGCACCCCCAGUCGUGGAUUCAGAUGGGAGACACAACGACUUCAGUGUGAAUUUAUUCUAGUUCGUUUCUGUUGCGUUG